UGGGGAAUUUUGGACAAUGGGCGCAAGCCUGAUCCAGCCAUACCGCGUGAGUGAAGAAGGCCUUCGGGUUGUAAAGCUCUUUCAGACGGAAAGAAACGGUUACGGCUAAUACCCGUGACUAAUGACGGUACCGUAAGAAGAAGCACCGGCUAACUACGUGCCAGCAGCCGCGGUAAUACGUAGGGUGCGAGCGUUAAUCGGAAUUACUGGGCGUAAAGCGUGCGCAGGCGGUUUUGUAAGUCUGAUGUGAAAUCCCCGGGCUCAACCUGGGAAUUGCAUUGGAGACUGCAAGGCUAGAAUCUGGCAGAGGGGAGUAGAAUUCCACGUGUAGCAGUGAAAUGCGUAGAUAUGUGGAGGAACACCGAUGGCGAAGGCAGCCCCCUGGGUCAAGAUUGACGCUCAUGCACGAAAGCGUGGGGAGCAAACAGGAUUAGAUACCCAAGUAGUCCCUGAGCGGGCUGGCAAGGCGCAU
rnacentral:rRNA from 1 species